rnacentral:rRNA from 1 species
AACACGUAUGCAACCUGGCCGUGACAGAUGGCUAUCCGGGAGAAAUCCCGCCUAAUACAACAUAAUGCCGGGAGGGGACAUCCCCUGCCGGUCAAAGGGGGCGACCCCGGUCACGGAUGGGCAUGCGGCGCAUUAGGUAGUUGGUGGGGCAACGGCCCACCAAGCCGACGAUGCGUAGGGGUUCUGAGAGGAAGGUCCCCCACAUUGGAACUGAGACACGGUCCAAACUCCUACGGGAGGCAGCAGUGAGGAAUAUUGGUCAAUGGCCGGAAGGCUGAACCAGCCAAGUCGCGUGAGGGAAUAAGGCCCUACGGGUCGUAAACCUCUUUUGCCAGGGAGCAAUGCCGUCCACGUGUGGACGGAAGGAGAGUACCUGGAGAAAAAGCAUCGGCUAACUCCGUGCCAGCAGCCGCGGUAAUACGGAGGAUGCGAGCGUUAUCCGGAUUUAUUGGGUUUAAAGGGUGCGUAGGCGGCCUGCCAAGUCAGCGGUAAAAUUGCGGGGCUCAACCCCGUACAGCCGUUGAAACUGCCGGGCUCGAGU